rnacentral:lncRNA from 1 species
AAUGUCCAAAAUUUGACCAAGUCUCUUAGGGGUCAAGGCAAUCUUUUUCCCUCUAACAUGUGUAACAAAUUUUAUAUUCUCAAUGCACAUGUUACAGUAAAACAUUCUCACUAAAUCUGGAUAGUAAGGUCCAGAAGAAGUGAUAAGUGCCCAUAAUCCUAGAGAAAUUAAUUUAUCUUGAAAAUUAAAAUAUUCUUCAGGAAAGGAGGAAAGAUCACCGUAUUUGGGGGUUUGUACUGUCUUCUUUUGAUAAAACUUUUGAUAUCUUUCCAAUUCCUUUGGGGUGUGGUCUUUGAAGAAAUGUUGAAUAUCCAUGGAUGAGGAUCCAGC